rnacentral:lncRNA from 1 species
UGUAGGAACUAUUUCAGAAUUUAAGCUGCAAAGUUAAAAACAGGAUAUUGGGUAUCAAUCCAUGACACAGAAUCAGUAUGUGCACAUCAAUAAAAAUUCAUAUAUAGUCAAUGAACAGUACAUUUAUUGCUGUACUUUAUCUCAAAGUCACAGUGAGAAUCAAUCUCAUAGUUUGAUUCAAAUUUCACAAACAUUCUGUUUCAGCAGUCAAAUAAGGUCCACACAAUAAAUGCAUAUUUACAAAAGCCUCUUUGACGUC